rnacentral:rRNA from 1 species
GAUUUCUGGUCUGGUGCGCCUAGCCCGCCGCAUUAGCGUGUGUGUGCCGGGUCGCGCCUGCCAUCCUUCUAGAGAACGUAUCUACCCUUCACUGGGCCGGAUCACGCCAUCUAGAUCUUUUACUUUGAAAAAAUUAGAGUGUUUAAAGCAGGCAUUUUUGCUAUGAAUACAUUAGCAUGGAAUAAUAAUUUAGGACUUCGGUUCUAUUUUGUUGGUCUUCUAGGACUGAAGUAAUGAUUGAUAGGGAUAGUUGGGGGUGCUAGUAUUCAGUGGCCAGAGGUGAAAUUCUCGGAUUCACUGAAGACUAACUUAUGCGAAAGCAUU